UACGUAGGGUGCGAGCGUUAAUCGGAAUUACUGGGCGUAAAGCGUGCGCAGGCGGUUUGCCGUGUCCGAUGUGAAAGCCCCGGGCUUAACCUGGGAAUGGCAUUGGAAACUGGCUGGCUGGAGUGUGGCAGAGGGGGGUGGAAUUCCACGUGUAGCAGUGAAAUGCGUAGAGAUGUGGAGGAACACCGAUGGCGAAGGCAGCCCCCUGGGUCAAGAUUGACGCUCAUGCACGAAAGCGUGGGGAGCAAACAGG
rnacentral:rRNA from 1 species